AUAAGAAAAAAAUUCUAAACAAGCUACAUUGAUUCAAUUUUCGUUGUUCGUUUUGUUCUUAUUCGCUGACAUUUGUUUUCUAAUUGCUUGAAAUUUGGUAAUUUCCUUAGUGUUUUCCUGGCCGACCUGUGCUGGUAUUGUAAUUAAGAGCUAAUACACCAUUCUCUGGUGAACUGCAGCUGCGGCCGAAUUUGAUUGUGUGCAUCAUCCUGCAGAUAUUUUGAAAUUUUGUGGACGCUUCUGUUGUGCUGCGUUCCUGCUCCGCCCGUGUUUUAUAGUGUUGCGUCCCUGUUGCGCCUUUGCAAUAGUGUGUGCGUUGUGCUUUAGACACGUUGAAAUUGUUUAUAUGCUUCUGCUGUGCUGCGUUCCUGCUUCACCCGUGUAUUAAAUUGCAGCGUUCCUGUUAACAUAAGCAUCGUCGUUUAAGUACAAAACCGCGUAACUGACAUUUGAUGCUAAAAAUUGGAUUUGCUCACACAAGUUCUUGGCUCAAUCCUUAUCCAUUCUUCCUGAUACAUAUUAGCCAAAAAUGCGAUUGCUCUUUAAAAAAAGAUAACCAUUUUGAAAUAUGAGUGUUUUCACUCUCUAGAAAAUAAUGUAUGCAACCUCGU